rnacentral:rRNA from 1 species
CGGGGCAACCUGGUGGCGAGUGGCGAACGGGUGAGUAAAGCAUCGGAACGUGCCCUGGAGUGGGGGAUAACGUAGCGAAAGUUACGCUAAUACCGCAUAUUCUGUGAGCAGGAAAGCAGGGGAUCGCAAGACCUUGCGCUCUGGGAGCGGCCGAUGUCGGAUUAGCUAGUUGGUGGGGUAAAGGCCUACCAAGGCGACGAUCCGUAGCGGGUCUGAGAGGAUGAUCCGCCACACUGGGACUGAGACGCGGCCCAGACUCCUACGAGGCAGCAGUGGGGAAUUUUGGACAAUGGGCGCAAGCCUGAUCCAGCCAUGCCGCGUGAGUGAAGAAGGCCUUCGGGUUGUAAAGCUCUUUCGGCCGGGAAGAAAUCGCAUGGGUCAAUACCCUGUGUGGAUGACGGUACCGGAAUAAGAAGCACCGGCUAACUACGUGCCAGCAGCCGCGGUAAUACGUAGGGUGCGAGCGUUAAUCGGAAUUACUGGGCGUAAAGCGUGCGCAGGCGGUUUGGUAAGUCAGAUGUGAAAUCCCCGGGCUCAACCUGGGAACUGCAUUUGAGACUGCCAAGCUGGAGUUUGGCAGAGGGGGGUGGAAUUCCACGUGUAGCAGUGAAAUGCGUAGAGAUGUGGAGGAACACCGAUGGCGAAGGCAGCCCCCUGGGCCAAUACUGACGCUCAUGCACGAAAGCGUGGGGAGCAAACAGGAUUAGAUACCCUGGUAGUCCACGCCCUAAACGAUGUCAACUAGGUGUUGGGAGGGUUAAACCUUUUAGUGCCGUAGCUAACGCGUGAAGUGGACCGCCUGGGGAGUACGGCCGCAAGGCUAAAACUCAAAGGAAUUGACGGGGACCCGCACAAGCGGUGGAUGAUGUGGAUUAAUUCGAUGCAACGCGAAAAACCUUACCUACCCUUGACAUGUCAGGAAUCCUGGAGAGAUCUGGGAGUGCUCGCAAGAGAACCUGAACACAGGUGCUGCAUGGCUGUCGUCAGCUCGUGUCGUGAGAUGUUGGGUUAAGUCCCGCAACGAGCGCAACCCUUGUCAUUAAUUGCCAUCAUUCAGUUGGGCACUUUAAUGAGACUGCCGGUGACAAACCGGAGGAAGGUGGGGAUGACGUCAAGUCCUCAUGGCCCUUAUGGGUAGGGCUUCACACGUCAUACAAUGGUCGGUUCAGAGGGUUGCCAACCCGCGGGGGGGAGCCAAUCUCAGAAAGCCGAUCGUAGUCCGGAUCGCAGUCUGCAACUCGACUGCGUGAAGUCGGAAUCGCUAGUAAUCGCGGAUCAGCAUGUCGCGGUGAAUACGUUCCCGGGUCUUGUACACACCGCCCGUCACACCAUGGGAGCGGGUUCUGCCAGAAGUAGUUAGCCUAACCGCAAGGAGGGCGAUUACCACGGCAGGGUUCGUGACUGGGGUGAAGUCGUAACAAGGUA